rnacentral:rRNA from 1 species
AACGAACGCUGGCGGCGUGGAUAAGACAUGCAAGUCGGGCGGAGCAUUUUGGGUAGCAAUAUUCAAAGCGUUCAGCGGCGCAAGGGUGCGUAACACGUGGGUAAUCUGCCUUGAAGUUUGGAAUAACUCCGAGAAAUCGGAGCUAAUACCGAAUGUAAUUCUACGAGUUAACUCUUAAGACUUAAAGUUGGGGAUCGUUAGACCUGACGCUUCAAGAUGAGCCUGCGGCCUANCAGCUAGUUGGUGAGGUAAUUGCUCACCAAGGCAAAGACGGGUAGCUGGUCUGAGAGGACGACCAGCCACACUGGAACUGAGACACGGUCCAGACACCUACGGGUGCAGCAGUCGAGUAAUUUUUCUCAAGUGGGCGAAAGCCUGAAGGAGCGACGCCGCGGUGGGGGAUGAAUGGCUUCCGG